GAUGAACGCUGGCGGCGUGCCUAAUACAUGCAAGUCGAGCGAACAGACGAGGAGCUUGCUCCUCUGACGUUAGCGGCGGACGGGUGAGUAACACGUGGAUAACCUACCUAUAAGACUGGGAUAACUUCGGGAAACCGGAGCUAAUACCGGAUAAUAUAUUGAACCGCAUGGUUCAAUAGUGAAAGACGGUUUUGCUGUCACUUAUAGAUGGAUCCGCGCCGCAUUAGCUAGUUGGUAAGGUAACGGCUUACCAAGGCAACGAUGCGUAGCCGACCUGAGAGGGUGAUCGGCCGCACUGGAACUGAGACACGGUCCAGACUCCUACGGGAGGCAGCAGUAGGGAAUCUUCCGCAAUGGGCGAAAGCCUGACGGAGCAACGCCGCGUGAGUGAUGAAGGUCUUCGGAUCGUAAAACUCUGUUAUUAGGGAAGAACAAAUGUGCAAGUAACUAUGCACGUCUUGACGGUACUUAAUCAGAAAGCCACGGCUAACUACGUG
rnacentral:rRNA from 1 species